CAGUCUCUUUCCCUGCCCAAAAAGAGAUAAGAUUUCAACUAAGGGGUGAGGUGGGGGUAGAGGAGGGAGAAUUGAGCUUGGUUCAAGUUUAAAUUGCUGGGUCCCUGGGAAGAGGCUUAGGGCUCCAUCCCAUUGGGCCGUGGCCUGGAGCGUAGACAACAGCCCAGACAGGCUGGAGGGGAAGGGGGUUCUCAAGGAGAAGAGCUAUUGUCUAACCACCCAGAGCACAGCCUUGUGUAUAUAAGGACCACACUUAAGCAGUGUGGAAACAGAGGUUGGAGGCAUCUAGGCCUGAUGAGUCCUUGGCAGCCUCUUAGAAUCCUUAUACCCUAGUAUGGGGUUCGGAAAGAGCCAAGAAUUCUUGUACUCCCCAAAAAGAGUCUGGCGGUGUUCAUGAGGGCUGGUGACCUGGAAAAGGCAUUCUGAUUGGGAUGACAAGGAUGCAGAGUCUAGAGCUGACAGCAGGGUGUGAUUGCUGAAACACAAGAAAGAGAGAAGAACUUUGCCCCCUUCUCCCAGUGCCAGCAGCCCAGAGGUAGCAGGAUCCUGUUGAAGAUGGGUAAUGUGCCAACAUCAUAACAAGGUUCAAGGGAGGCACAUCUCAUACGAGUGUGAAAAGGCAAUCAUCAUGCUUAUGAACUACAAGAUUAUCCUAUAUAUUCAUUUUCAAUUAUUUUAUCCUCCUCUGCCUCUUGCCCUGGACUAUAUAAGACCUGCAAUAUAAUGUUGAAUAAGGAAGGUGAAAACGAACAUCAUUGCAUCACUCCUGAUAUCAAAGAAAGUUCCAAGUUCUGAUCUCCCCUUCCCUACCUCUUUUCUUGACGUCUCUGGAACAAGCUAUCUGAAAGGAGAAAUAGUCACAUCACAAUUUUUUUUUUCUGGGCUCAUGUGAAUAUUGUUUCAGGGACAAGAAGAAAAAAAAAUUUGUCUUCUCUAUUUCCUUAAGAAGGUCAGCAAGAUGGAACAGUUGCAUUUCAUAUGCAGCCUCUCGAAGGACAUUCAUUUUCUCCAGCAGAGCCCCAGGGUGGACAAGGAGGGCCAGCUGUGUGCAGCGUCUGUUGUGUACAGCAUUCAGGACAAUGUCCUCUUGGAUCCCGAGCUCUCCACACAGACAGAGCAGAUAAAGGAAGGUCCCUCUCCUGGUCUUCCUUCCAGGGAGGCUGUUGCUGAGAGAGGUUAAGGGACCUCCCAGAGUCCUCCUCAGGUGGGAGCGGAAGGUUGGCAUUGCUGACCUCCCAUAAGCUUUUACCUGAACUUGGGCUCUGCCUGUCUUUGUUCUGAGGAAUGAGACUGCAAAGAAGCUCCCGAUCUGAAAAGGUGGCAUUUGCUAAGUUAGAAAAUGGAAGUACCACCCAGUCUGGGGGAUCCCAUAGGCACCCAAGAGUGCACCAAGCCACUAGGACCAAGCUCACCUGAGAGUCCCACCCUGCUCGGAAUAUGCAGACUUGGUGUCCUGUCGCUUUAAAGCACUCCAUGCCUGGAAAUGCCACGGCCCACAUGGAAUGGGCACAGCCAACAACUCUCCAAGGAGCCCCAGCAAUGAAUGAUGAGCAUCUCCCCUGAACCCAUCUCCCCAUGUCCGGUGUUUAAAGUGAAUUGAAAUGAAUAUCUGAUAAAUGAAUAAACCUGUAAAUGGAAUCAAAAACCUUAUGAACUUGAAGGAGAAAUAGGAGUCCCAGGUCUGUUAAGUCUAAAUUGAAUAAAUCUGAUCAACUGCCUGACAAUUUCUGCCAACAGCUUUUGAAGAGGAAGAAAAGGGGUGAGCAGAGAAAUUGGGUAGAGGAGAGGGAAGAGCGAGUGGGGUAGGGGAGGCAGGCAUGACUCAGUAAUGAAGCUAUCACCAGGAGUCCCCAGUGUUCCUUACCUGGACUAAUAAAUGGAUGACAAUAGGAGUUCCUUGCAAGUCUGUCUGCUCCUGUGUGUCUGCCCAGAGGACACCUCUAGAGAAUGAGAGAUUUGCAUAAAAUGGGGCCAAAGUCUCCUUUUGGGCCUUGCUGGACAAGGAGCUGAGGAAGAACUCUGGAGUCCUGGAAUCAGCUACUGGGCCUAGAUGAUCUCACCUGCUAGGAUGGGUCUGUAUGUUUGGGUAGCUUGAGCUGGAGGCAGGGAGGUCACAUUGAGGAUGCGCUCAAUGGCUCUCGAUUUGGCCUCUGCCACUCUUUGUUCUGUUGGGUAACUUACUUCCUGCAGUGGUUUUAAACAUGGCCACAGACUUCUUUAACACUCAUCUUAGUGAGAGGUGGUGGUGGUGGAUCUGUGUCUUCUUCUCUUGAAUCUAGGUGGCUUUGUGACUCCACUAAUACAGAACAGUGGCAUUGAUGCUGUCUGACUUUCCAGGCUGGGCUGGAAAAGGUUGUGCAACUUCUGCCUGAGUUUCUUGGGACACUGUCAUUGGGGGAAAACAGCCCCUAUGUAGGAAAUCCAAUUGCCCUGAGAGUGCCAUGCUGGAGAGGUGUUCCUGUUCAAGGCCAUGCCCCACUGAGCUCCCGGCCAGUGGCCAGGCUGGCCGUGGGGAAUGAACCCCGUGAGCCACUCAGUCUCGCCCAGCCUUCAGAUGACUGCAGUUCCAGCCCAUGUGUGACUGCAGCAGCUAAGUCACAGCUGCCUCGUCAAACUCUCCCCAAAUUUUUGACCUGCAAAAGUACAAACGCUAUAAAAUUAUUGUUUUAAGCUACUAAUUCAGGAGUAAUUUGUUAAUAGCAACCAAAACACACCCCUUCUUGGGUUUCAAUUUUUUUUCUGAACCAUGAAGGGUUAGACUAGAUAAUUUUUAAAACCAUACUUUGAAAGUUUUAAAUAGUAGAUGAACUUUUUUCAAUUGUUUUUAUUGUAGUAAAAUAUACAUAAAAUUUACCAUCUUAAACAUUUUUAAGUGUACGGUUCAGUGGUAUUAAAUAUAUUCACAAUGUUGUGUAACCAUCAUCACCAUCCAUCUCCGUAACUCAUUUCGUCCUGCAAAACUGAAACUCUGUACACAUUAAACAAUAACUCCGUCUUCCCCUUUCUCCUCCAGCCCCUGACAUCCACCAUUCUACUUUCUGCCUCUAUGAUUUAGACUACUCUAGGUAUCUCACAUAAGUGGAAUCAUACAAUGUUUGCCUUUUGGGCCUGGUUUAUUUCACUCAGCAUAAUGUUUUCAUGGUUCAUCCAGGUUGUAGUAUGUACCAGGAUUUCUUUCCUUUUUAAGACUGGAUAAUAUUUCAUUGUAUGUAUAUACAACAUUUUGCUUAUCCAUUCAUUUGUUGAUAGACACUUUUGUUUUUGCCAUGUUUUAGCUAUUGUGCAUUAAUGCUGGUGUGAACAGGAGUGUACAAAUGGAAAGAACCUGCUUCCAAUUAUGUCAAAUAGAUACCCAGAAGUGGAAUUGCUGAUUUACAUGGUAAUUUUAUUUUUAAUUUUUUGAGAAACCACCACACCGUUUUUCACAGUGGCUGUCCCAUUUUUGCAUUCCUGCCACCAGUGUACAAGGAUUCCAGUUCCCCACACCCUCAUCAACACUUGUUAUAUAUAUAUUUUUACAAUAGCCAUGAUAAUGGAUAUGAAGAGGUGUCCCAUUGUUGCUUUGAUUCACAUUUCUCUAAUGAUUAGUGAUGCUGGACAUCUUUUCAAAGCAUGUUUUUUUUAAAAAAGGAGUUCAAACAUCAUAAAAGGAUAACAGAAAUUAAACAGUUUUCUUCCCUACUCCUGAGUUCUUCUCACCACUGAGAGGUAACUAACUUUAACAUAUGACUGAUUCUUCCAGAAAUGCUUGUUGUGAUUACAACAUAAUUAUAUCUUUAUAAAAUUACACAUAGAAUUAUAUCAUAGUUAAUUUUUGUAAUUUCCUUUUUUUCCACUUACUGAUACAGAUUGGAGAUAUUUCCAUACCAGUAUACAUAGGUCUACUUCAUUCUUAAUAUCUGCAUAAUUCCAUGGCAUGGCUUGGUCAACGUUUACUUCUCUAGUCACUGUUGAUGGGUAUUUCAGUUGCUUCUAGGUUGUUUGGUUGGUAUUUUUUGCUACUGUAAUAAUACUGCAUUGACUAUUAUUGUAUACUUGUUUAUGCUUUUGUAGGUCAAAUUCCUAGAAGUACAGUUUCUGGGUCAAAGGAUAUGCAUUGACAAUUUUGAUAAUUAUUGCCAAAUUUGUCUUUUAAAGAGGUGGCACAUAUUUAUACCACCACAAUGAGGAAGCUAGUAUCCUGCUACCUUUAUUAUCUUUCAGGUUUUGUCAUCUGCUGGAAGAAAAUAAUAUUCUGUUUUCAAGUUUUCAUUUCUUUAAUUGUGAAGUUGAGCAUUUUUAUAUGCACUUUGAUGAUUUUUUAUACAAAAUUUCAAUCAUGCAAAAGUAGAGAGACUAUAUCAUGAACUCCCAUAAGUAGAUCACCCCAAGUCAACUGUCAUUAUGGGUUUACCACUUGUUUCAAGAUUGAUGAUUUUUAAUUUCUAUUUUUCAUUGAAUAGCUAAUUUAUAUCCUUUGCCAAUUCUAUAGGGCUGUUCAUAUUUUGUUUUUUUUUAAAUGGUUUGUCGGAGCUUUUCUUAUCAUAACAAAUUAACUUUUUGCCAUUAUAUGUUACAAAUAUUUUUCCUAUUAAACUUGUGUUUUGAUAUUAUUAAAGGUCUUUUUGUACAGAAGCAAUUUUACUUUUUAUAUCAAAUUUAUCAAUCUUUUAAAAAGAUUUGUAGUUUUGUGUUUUCAAUGAUCUUCUCUACUCCAGGAAUAUAAAAUAAAAUAAUAAAAUAAA
rnacentral:lncRNA from 1 species